rnacentral:rRNA from 2 species
UACAGAGGGUGCGAGCGUUAAUCGGAAUUACUGGGCGUAAAGCGUGCGUAGACGGUUUCGUAAGUCGGGUGUGAAAGCCCCGGGCUCAACCUGGGAAUUGCAUUCGAGACUGCGUAGCUAGGGUGCGGAAGAGGGAAGCGGAAUUUCCGGUGUAGCGGUGAAAUGCGUAGAUAUCGGAAGGAACAUCAGUGGCGAAAGCGGCUUCCUGGUCCAGCACCGACGUUCAGGCACGAAAGCGUGGGGAGCAAACAGG